UACAGAGGUCCCAAGCGUUGUUCGGAUUUACUGGGCGUAAAGGGUGUGUAGGAGGUUGGGUAAGUCGGAUGUGAAAUCUCACCGCUUAACUCCGAAACUGCAUUCGAUACUGCGGUGCUUGAGGACUGGAGAGGAGACUGGAAUUCAUGGUGUAGCAGUGAAAUGCGUAGAGAUCAUGAGGAAGACCAGUGGCGAAGGCGGGUCUCUGGACAGUUCCUGACACUGAGGCACGAAGGCCAGGGGAGCAAACGGG
rnacentral:rRNA from 1 species